GGAGGUAUAGCUCAGUGGUAGAGUGCCUGUUUAGCAUGCAUGAGGCCCUGAGUUCAAUCCCCAGGACCUCCU
rnacentral:tRNA from 1 species